rnacentral:lncRNA from 1 species
GGUUAUACUGUGUCUUGGAUGUUUUUAUUUUCAAGCAUGAACUAAUUUUCUAAGUACCUAGGGAGUUGAACUCUAUGAUGAAUUCUGUCGUUUAAUUUUUAUUUUACGCAAUAAAUACUUAGAUCUUAUUCUCAAUUAUGUAUGCUUAAUUCUUGGUUUGUUAUUUCUAUUUUAUUAAUCCAUGUUUGAUGUGCUUAAGUCAGAGGGGGAAUAGACUCU